ensembl:snoRNA LOC120095447 small nucleolar RNA SNORA17
CCUGCCUGCAAAGGUGUUGCUGAUGUGGCUGCUGUGUCAUAUAUGCAUCAGUAGGUGGCAGAGAAGAGAAAGCCUAUGUCUAGGCUCAGUGUUCUGACCUAUGGACAUCUGAAUGAUUAGCUGCCUAACAGU